rnacentral:tRNA from 13 species
AGCCACCAGCGAGAUUCGAACUCGCGACCCCUGGUUUACGAGACCAGCUCUAACCUCUGAGCUAUGGUGUG